rnacentral:rRNA from 1 species
GACAGGGGGCUCGAGCGUUAAUCGGAAUCACUGGGCUUAAAGGGUGCGUAGGCGGGUCGGUAAGCAUCCCGUGAAAUCCCCCGGCUCAACCGGGGAACCGCGAGAUGGACUGCCGAUCUUGAGGAAGCUAGAGGCGGGUAGAACGAUAGGUGGAGCGGUGGAAUGCGUAGAUAUCUAUCGGAAUGCCGAAAGUGAAGACAGCCCGCUGGGGCUUUCCUGACGCUAAAGCACGAGAGCGUGGGGAGCAAACCGG